CUACGGGGGGCUGCAGUGGGGAAUAUUGCACAAUGGGCGCAAGCCUGAUGCAGCAACGCCGCGUGAGGGAUGAAGGCCUUCGGGUUGUAAACCUCUUUUAGCAGGGAAGAAGCGAAAGUGACGGUACCUGCAGAAAAAGCACCGGCUAACUACGUGCCAGCAGCCGCGGUAAUACGUAGGGUGCAAGCGUUGUCCGGAAUUAUUGGGCGUAAAGAGCUCGUAGGCGGUUUGUCACGUCUGCUGUGAAAAUCCAAGGCUCAACCUGGGACUUGCAAUGGGUACGGGCAGGCUAGAGUGCGGUAGGGGAGAUGGGAAUUCCUGGUGUAGCGGUGGAAUGCGCAGAUAUCAGGAGGAACACCAAUGGCGAAGGCACAUCUCUGGGCCGUAACUGACGCUGAGGAGCGAAAGCGUGGGGAGCGAACAGGAUUAGAUACCCCAGUAGUC
rnacentral:rRNA from 1 species